AGCCUAAUGAUUUAUUUAUAUUAGGUAAAUUCUGCUCAAUGAUAUAAAUAAAUAGCCGCAGUACUUUGACUGUGCGAAGGUAGCAUAAUAAAUUGGCUUAUAAUUGAAGUCGGGAAUGAAGGAAUACAUGGAUAUAAGCUGUCUUAUAUAAACUUAUUUUAAUUUUCUAAAUAAGUGAAAAUUCUUAUUAUAUAUUUUAAUAGACGAGAAGACCCUUGAAAUUUUUAUGAAUAGUGUAUUUAUAUAUUAGUAAUUUUUGUUGGGGCGACAGAUUUACAUAUUACUAAAUUUAUAAGCUUGUUAUAAUACAAAUUUUAUUAAUAAAAAUAAAUUACUCAAGGGAUAACAGCAUAAUUUAUUUAUAAGUUUGUGACCUCGAUGUUGGACUAGGAAAUUUUAAGUUUAGAAGAUUUAAAAUUAGGUUCUGUUCGAACUAUUUUUUCCUACAUG
rnacentral:rRNA from 1 species